rfam:Ictidomys tridecemlineatus contig053988, whole genome shotgun sequence.
GGAGGUGUAGCUCAGUGGUAGAGCAUAUAUUUAGGAUGGGUGAAGCCCUGGGUUCCAUCUCCAGCAUCACUA